rnacentral:rRNA from 1 species
CAGUCGCCGCGGUAAUACAGAGGGUGCAAGCGUUAAUCGGAAUUACUGGGCGUAAAGCGCGCGUAGGUGGUUUGUUAAGUUGGAUGUGAAAUCCCCGGGCUCAACCUGGGAACUGCAUCCAAAACUGGCAAGCUAGAGUAUGGUAGAGGGUGGUGGAAUUUCCUGUGUAGCGGUGAAAUGCGUAGAUAUAGGAAGGAACACCAGUGGCGAAGGCGACCACCUGGACUGAUACUGACACUGAGGUGCGAAAGCGUGUGGAGCAAACAGGAUUAGAUACCCGUGUAGUCCCUGUCUCUUAUAC